CAGUCGCCGCGGGAAUACGGAGGGUGCAAGCGUUAAUCGGAAUUACUGGGCGUAAAGCGCACGCAGGCGGUUUGUUAAGUCAGAUGUGAAAUCCCCGAGCUUAACUUGGGAACUGCAUUUGAAACUGGCAAGCUAGAGUCUUGUAGAGGGGGGUAGAAUUCCAGGUGUAUCGGUGAAAUGCGUAGAGAUCUGGAGGAAUACCGGUGGCGAAGGCGGCCCCCUGGACAAAGACUGACGCUGAGGCACGAAAGCGUGGGAAGCAAACAGGAUUAGAUACCCCUGUAGUCCCUGUCUCUUAUAC
rnacentral:rRNA from 1 species